rnacentral:rRNA from 1 species
AUUGAACACUGGCGGCAGGCCUAACACAUGCAAGUCGAGCGGAUGAAGGGAGCUUGCUCCUGGAUUCAGCGGCGGACGGGUGAGUAAUGCCUAGGAAUCUGCCUGGUAGUGGGGGAUAACGUCCGGAAACGGGCGCUAAUACCGCAUACGUCCUGAGGGAGAAAGUGGGGGAUCUUCGGACCUCACGCUAUCAGAUGAGCCUAGGUCGGAUUAGCUAGUUGGUGGGGUAAAGGCCUACCAAGGCGACGAUCCGUAACUGGUCUGAGAGGAUGAUCAGCCACACUGGAACUGAGACACGGUCCAGACUCCUACGGGAGGCAGCAGUGGGGAAUAUUGGACAAUGGGCGAAAGCCUGAUCCAGCCAUGCCGCGUGUGUGAAGAAGGUCUUCGGAUUGUAAAGCACUUUAAGUUGGGAGGAAGGGCAGUAAGUUAAUACCUUGCUGUUUUGACGUUACCAACAGAAUAAGCACCGGCUAACUUCGUG